AUUAUUGGACUUGACCCCCAGAUAGGAUGGUGACUGGGUCAGUUAAUAAUGAGAUCUGGUUUGUUUGUUGAGGUUCUUUCAUGUCCACCCUUUGUUGGGACUAUGAAAACCAAAGCCAAAUAGCAUCUCUCUAUGCCUCCAUGUCAUUCCUAUGGGGUUGGCCUUUAGCCUAAGAUUACUGGCUUCUUGUAGAGGUUCUUUCUUGUUCUAGUUCCUAUAGUAUCAUGGUUUAACUAUUUUAUGAUGUUCAGGUUUGCUCUGGCGCCCAGCCUGGUCAAAUGGUAGUUUUGAAGAAGAAAGGGAUCCAGACGAGGAACUCUUAUUCAUUUGGUGAUCAAUAUGUGCACUUCAAUGAAUUUGACCCCAAGGCAAAGUGAAUUGAUUGAAGAGUUUGCCAAAGAAGAGCAAAGGGAAUAUGAAAAGUGUGCUACUGCUGGAGCAUCUGCGUAAAAAUGUAAACCAAAAAAGGCUUCAUUUCUUUGCCAAUUCAUAGAAAGUCAAGCUUAGCAAAAAAGGAUAAAGGCAACCGAAGGAAAAGCAUCAAUUGUUGAAAGACCCACCCACUCUAUAAGUUUUGUAGGAGUGACUCUGGGUCGUUUUUGU